UGCUGCAUGCUUUAUACAUGCAAGUCGAACGAAGGCCCUAGCUUGCUAGGUGUCCUUAGUGGCGCACGGGUGAGUAACACGUGGGAACAUACCUUAUAGUACGGAAUAACUGCGGGAAACUGUAGCUAAUACCGUAUAUUCCAACAAUGGGAAAGAUUUAUCGCUAUAAGAUUGGCCCGCGCAAGAUUAGCUUGUUGGUGAGGUAAAAGCUCACCAAGGCUUCGAUCUUUAGCUGGUUUGAGAGGAUGAUCAGCCACACUGGGACUGAGACACGGCCCAGACUCCUACGGGAGGCAGCAGUAGGGAAUAUUGGACAAUGGGGGCAACCCUGAUCCAGCAAUGCAGCGUGAGUGACGAAGGCCUUAGGGUUGUAAAACUCUUUCAUCGGUGAGGAUAAUGACAGUAGCCGAAGAAGAAGGACCGGCUAAUUCCGUGCCAGCAGCCGCGGUAAUACGGAAGGUCCUAGCGUUGUUCGGAAUUACUGGGCGUAAAGCGCAUGUAGGCGGAACAGAAAGUUAGAAGUGAAAUCCCUGGGCUCAACCUAGGAAUUGCUUUUAAAACUUCUGUUCUGGAAUUCAGGAGAGGAAAAUGGAAUUUCCAGUGUAGAGGUGAAAUUCGUAGAUAUUGGAAGGAACACCAGUGGCGAAGGCGAUUUUCUGGACUGAUAUUGACGCUGAGAUGCGAAGGCAUGGGUAGCAAACGGGAUUAGAUACCCCGGUAGUCCAUGCAGUAAACGAUGGGUGCUAGUCGUCGGACUUUUGUUCGGUGUCGUAGCUAACGCGUUAAGCACCCCGCCUGGGGAGUACGGU
rnacentral:rRNA from 1 species